rnacentral:misc_RNA from 1 species
AGAGAGUCUAUGAGAGGCUGUUGGUAA